CCUACGGGAGGCAGCAGUGAGGAAUAUUGGUCAAUGGACGAGAGUCUGAACCAGCCAAGUAGCGUGAAGGAUGACUGCCCUAUGGGUUGUAAACUUCUUUUAUAAAGGAAAAAAACGAGGCACGUGUGCCUUUUUGCAUGUACUUUAUGAAUAAGGAUCGGCUAACUCCGUGCCAGCAGCCGCGGUAAUACGGAGGAUCCGAGCGUUAUCCGGAUUUAUUGGGUUUAAAGGGAGCGUAGAUGGGUUGUUAAGUCAGUUGUGAAAGUUUGCGGCUCAACCGUAAAAUUGCAAUUGAUACUGGCAGUCGUGAGUACAGUUGAGGUAGGCGGAAUUCGUGGUGUAGCGGUGAAAUGCUUAGAUAUCACGAAGAACCCCGAUUGCGAAGGCAGCUUACUAAACUGUGACUGACAUUGAUGCUCGAAAGUGUGGGUAUCAAACAGGAUUAGAUACCCGAGUAGUC
rnacentral:rRNA from 1 species